rnacentral:lncRNA from 11 species
CGCUUUUGGCUUUUGGAUCUCUCUUUUGGAAGAAGAGGCUGAAGAAGCCAUGCUCUUUGUACCUUGCAAUGCUUUUUGCAUCUUGAAAUGCUUACAAGGACUAUGGCUGUAUGGAUCAGGACGAUGGGCCACCUUUUCUAUGCCGGCUUUUUCUCUUCACUCACCUUUGGCCAACUAUCUGAAGACAAAGAUAAUGCAGUCAAGAAAGUUUGUGUACAUACGUCCAUGGACUUUUCCAGUCCCAAUCACUCAUCACAGGCAAUUGGGGACCUACACGUAGCUUGAAAGGUAUACUUUACUCACUCCUGAAUUAAACCUGCCCAAAGCUUAAGUGACCAAAAGUACAGCAGUUCAUAAUGUCCAGUACCAAUGAUAAAAAUACUGUACCCACAUAGCAACCAGUACUAAUAGAUCUAAUUAUAACCUGAUUUGUCUGUCUCAACCUCGAAGUGAAGAAAAACAAAACAAAGAACCCUGAACUACAUGAAGCAACCAUCUCCAGCCAAACGAGAGCAAACCUGUGAUAUACAAACACAGAUAUGUUGUCCAAUUAAAAGCCCAAUUUUUGUCCGUAUGAGCCCUGCCUUCACGAAUGGAAUCGUAACUCUAAUUCCAAAAGAAAAAGUAUUAAAUGAACAAGAAACAUCAUAGAACAUCAUAAUGAAGCCUCCUUCUCAUAUAUUUCUUCACUUUCCAUCUCAUUGGUCCUAAGACUGGAUUUAUCAUGAUUGAACUUAUAGGUUCUGACCUAUAAGUGUCAGUUUGAAUCAGAUACUUAGGGAUAGAUGACUGAUUGAUAAAGUUGCUGCUUUCAUCUGUAUAAUGUAAAAUAAACAGACAUUAAAUUCAACACUUCUAGCAGUAGAGGUACAUUUGUUCUCUUGAGUUCAAUGGAACAUAUUUUAAAGUGAGAGUAUAUCCCUGGCAGUUUAGUUGCCCUUUGCAUUAUUGAC